UACGUAGGGAGCAAGCGUUAUCCGGAUUUAUUGGGUGUAAAGGGUGCGUAGACGGGAAGGCAAGUUGGUUGUGAAAUCCCUCGGCUUAACUGAGGAACUGCAAUCAAAACUAUCUUUCUUAAGUGCUGGAGAGGAAAGUGGAAUUCCUAGUGUAGCGGUGAAAUGCGUAGAUAUUAGGAGGAACACCAGUGGCGAAGGCGACUUUCUGGACAGUAACUGACGUUGAGGCACGAAAGUGUGGGGAGCAAACAGG
rnacentral:rRNA from 1 species